AGAAAACAACAAAAGGUGCUAAUGCAGCUAUCAGAUUGCUCAAGGUGGUUUGCUUAGUUGGUUGGGUGCUAGUGAACUAUAUGUAAGAGUGCUCAAAUUUAUUUCAAAUGUUCCUCUUUUUUGUCUUUGUCUUUUCAUGGGUGACGAGGAUGAUUCUGCUAAUGGCAACUUUGGUUUUGUCUAUUAGGCUAGAAAUAAAGUAACAUAACUCUUCCUACAAUUGUAACUUGGGAUCCUAAAUUUAAACAUCAUGGUGCUAAAAUUAUGCAUUAAUUCAGUACACUGCAUGUUGCUAUGGCACUUGCGAAAACUGAAAAUUUUGUAUGGUGUCUCAAACAUAGAUUGCAUGGCCUUCAACAAUUGUACAUGACUAAUACCUUGCCUUUAUUACAACUUACAUCAUGUAAAUACAUUGUGUGUUAACUGUUCAUUUUUUUUUGUAGGUUCAAAAGAUAAAUGGAUGAGUAUAUAUGGGUGGGUGGCAAGUAUACUUCAAUGAGGAUGUUGAUUUUCCGGAUCAUGGUGAUGAUGAUGGAUGAUUUCAGUUUUAUUUAAGUAGUAGGGAUGUCGUUCCCGUUGGAUGUUGUUUGUCGGUCUAGUUUUGGUUAAGUUGUAGGGAUGUUGAUGGAUGCUUUCAGUUUAAAUUUCACUGGCAAGAAAAUAGUUAGAUUAUGCAUCACAUUUGGAUGAUGUUCCUCAUGUAAUUUCCAAUAUUGUAAUCUAACAUUUUUAUGUAAUAUAUGAUUUCUUUC
rnacentral:lncRNA from 1 species